rnacentral:tRNA from 1 species
GCGCCCGUAGCUCAGUUGGAUAGAGCAGCGGACUUCUAAUCCGCAGGUCCGGGGUUCGAAUCCCUGCGGGCGCGUCA